rnacentral:rRNA from 1 species
GAUGAACGCUGGCGGCGUGCCUAAUACAUGCAAGUCGAGCGAACAGACGAGGAGCUUGCUCCUUUGACGUUAGCGGCGGACGGGUGAGUAACACGUGGGUAACCUACCUAUAAGACUGGGAUAACUUCGGGAAACCGGAGCUAAUACCGGAUAAUAUUUCGAACCGCAUGGUUCGAUAGUGAAAGGUGGCUUUGCUAUCACUUAUAGAUGGACCUGCGCCGUAUUAGCUAGUUGGUAAGGUAACGGCUUACCAAGGCAACGAUACGUAGCCGACCUGAGAGGGUGAUCGGCCACACUGGAACUGAGACACGGUCCAGACUCCUACGGGAGGCAGCAGUAGGGAAUCUUCCGCAAUGGGCGAAAGCCUGACGGAGCAACGCCGCGUGAGUGAUGAAGGUCUUCGGAUCGUAAAACUCUGUUAUUAGGGAAGAACAAACGUGUAAGUAACUGUGCACGUCUUGACGGUACCUAAUCAGAAAGCCACGGCUAACUACGUG